rnacentral:rRNA from 1 species
GGAGGGGGCAAGCGUUGUUCGGAAUUACUGGGCGUAAAGGGCGCGUAGGCGGGAAGAUCAAGUCAGGGGUGAAAGGCCUGGGCUCAACCCGGGAACUGCCUUUGAAACUGGUUUUCUAGAGUACGGGAGAGGAUGGCGGAAUUCCCAGUGCAGAGGUGAAAUUCGUAGAUAUUGGGAAGAACACCGGUGGCGAAGGCGGCCAUCUGGCCCGGUACUGACGCUAAGGCGCGAAAGCGUGGGGAGCAAACAGGAUUAGAUACCCUGGUAGUCCACGCCGUAAACGAUGUGUGCUAGCCGUUGGGGCUUCAGGUCUCGGUGGCGCAGCUAACGCGUUAAGCACACCGCCUGGGGAGUACGGCCGCAAGGUUA